AUUGAACGCUGGCGGCAGGCCUAACACAUGCAAGUCGAACGAGUGGCGGACGGGUGAGUAAUGUAGGGGAAACUGCCUGAUGGAGGGGGAUAACGACUGGAAACGGUAGCUAAUACCGCAUACCAUCAGAUGUGCCCAGAUGGGAUUAGCUAGUUGGUGGGGUAAAGGCUCACCAAGGCGACGAUCCCUAGCUGGUCUGAGAGGAUGACCGGCCACACUGGAACUGAGACACGGUCCAUACUCCUACGUGAGGCAGCAGUGGGGAAUAUUGCACAAUGGGCGCAAGCCUGAUGCAGCCAUGCCGCGUGUAUGAAGAAGGCCUUCGGGUUGUAAAGUACUUUCAGCGUGGAGGCGUUACCCGCAGAAGAAGCACCGGCUAACUCCGUGCCAGCAGCCGCGGUAAUUC
rnacentral:rRNA from 1 species